CACUAAGGAACGCAGACUAAAAACCACGUACUGCGGCAACGUCUGCAUAACCCACAUCCCGUGGC
rnacentral:sRNA from 17 species